UACAGAGGUGGCAAGCGUUGUUCGGAAUUACUGGGCGUAAAGGGCGCGUAGGCGGCCUUCUAAGUCAGACGUGAAAUCCCCCGGCUUAACCUGGGAACUGCGUCUGAUACUGGACGGCUUGAGUGCGGGAGAGGGAUGUGGAAUUCCAGGUGUAGCGGUGAAAUGCGUAGAUAUCUGGAGGAACACCGGUGGCGAAGGCGGCAUCCUGGACCGACACUGACGCUGAGGCGCGAAAGCUAGGGUAGCAAACGGG
rnacentral:rRNA from 1 species